rnacentral:lncRNA from 1 species
AGCCAGGGCUAUACAGAGAAACCAUGUCUUGAAAAACCAAAAAAAAAAAAAAAAAAAAAAAAAAAAGUUACCCACGACAACUGCCUUACUUUGUAAAUAAAAGGAGACAUAGCCUUAUAGACAGGACACAGUAGCACAAGUCUGUAAUCCCAGGAACUCGGGAGGCUGAGGCAGGAGGAUUCCAAGUUUUAAAGUGGCAUGGGCUAUAUCUCAAAAGAGAAAUAAAGUGGAGAGAGGGAUUCAGGCCCCCCAUAGCUUACAUGUCUUACCUACUUGGUCUUAAAAUCAAGAAAAACUCGUCUUCCCACUUUCAGAACUUUUACCCUUACAUGCCAGAAAAAGAAACGGUUAUCUUCACAUUAAAAAAUAUACAAACAAUUUUAAAGGCUUGUUUAGUUCACUUGCUACUGGUUUACUGCUUAAGGCUUUCCCGCAUGCCCCUUUCAUGUCUGUAGGUCGGAUCACAUUUAGUGAAAACUGGCUGAGAGUUUCAGUGAGCUUUUGGGAUUUUUCAAUACUCAGAGUAAGAGGUUGCACAACAUGCCUUAUUAAUAGAAAACAUGUGUUUUAUAACAUUCCUUCCCUGAAGAAGAGCAUUGCCUACUCUUGUGAUUUCAUGGGUGUUGGUCCAUGAACCUGUUCCAGUGUCAACAGAAGGUGUGGUCAUUUUAAAAAGAAUGGAUGGUCAAGAUUUAUUUGAAAGCCUCAGGUCAAGACUGUCUCUGCCAAUCAGCUCAUCAAAUGCUUUACCAGAGCCCUCCCAUGUACAUGUGGCAAGGUAGAUUUGGCCUGAAUAUUUCAGUAACUGUGGGUACUUAUGGGCAAAGUAAAUGACCACCUAGAUAACAAGUAAGCUAGCCACAAGGAUUAGCUUGAAGCAACCAUUUUUUUUUCUUUCAAAAUCGUAAGUGGGAUUUUGCUCCUAUUAAAAAUGACUUGAGGGGGAUAAAGAGAUGGCUCAUCAGUUAAGAGUACUGGCUGCUCUUACAGAGGUCCUGAGUUCAAAUCCCAGCACCCACAGGGUGGCUCAUAACCAUGUAUAAUGUGAUCUGGUGUUCUCUUCUAUAUGAUGCCCUCAUCUGUCACGCAGACAUAUGUUCAUAUAGAGAACUCAUAUACGUUAAGUAAACUUAUAAAUACUUUUUAAAAAUGACCUAAGCACUUAUACGAAUGACUGGCUAUUAGAAUUUUUCCUUUGAGGUACAUGUCUUACUUAUACACAUCUCUUGCUUAGUUUGUCCAUGGUUUCUAAGAUAACCAGACAUUUCCUCCUCUCCCUGCAUGCAAUGCUGCUGGAUUAGUAUUCACCUUCAAACUACUCAUGCUUGUCAUAUCGGACCCAAUGUGUUGCUUAAUGUAUCAUGCAAACUUGUUCUAAAGGCUUUAAACAGAAGCUGGCAGGUGCCCCUUAGUAAACCCUGGCAUAUAUUGUCUACUCUUAAGACACCUAUGUCCAUCUAGAAAUUCCCACUUUUAACAGGAAGGAAGGAGGUUGACCAUUCUUACAUAGGCCUUGUCCUCACAGAGCCAUCCUACCUAAAGCUUGAUAAAAAUUCUAGUGAACUGAAUCCUGACACGGAAAUGGACCACAAAGUGCAGAAGGGACUUUGAGCUUCAUGCACAGGAACCCGAGAAGGGUGUGCUUUUGUGAGGCUGUUCUGUUCUUGCAUCAGGCACAGUUGCUGCAUGUGGGAGACUGUGUAAACUGUGUUUUACAGAUGCCAAUUGCUGGUGUGUUCAAAGUACUGUGAUGGACUGAAACUCUGAGUUGGCUGCUGUUGGACUUAUGUUCUGUGUCCGUACUGUUUGGCCAAAGUACCUCUUAGGUUGCUUUUGUUGGUUCCACUGUACUGCCAAGAGGAUUAAUUAUGAGCUCCUAGAAAAAAUAAAAACAGCCAUUUCCUUUCAUCAGACUGAAAGAUAAUUCUCUACACUUAAGCCAGUUCAUUAAUUAUCCCAAAUAUUUGUAAGAUGAUGACUUUGGAAUGAAUCCUAAACUUUAGAGAGUAGC